GAUGAACGCUGGCGGCGUGCUUAACACAUGCAAGUCGAACGGGAAACCUCUUAUUGAAGCUUCGGCAGAUUUAGCUGGCUUCUAGUGGAGGACGGGUGAGUAUCGCGUGGGUAACCUGCUUUCUACAGGGGAAUAACAACCAGACAUGGUUGCUACUACCGCAUCAUCGCACAGGAUCGAAUGGUUCGGUGUGAAGAACUCCGGUGGCGUAAGAUGGACCUGCGUUGGAUUAGCUGGUUGGCAGGGUAAUGGCCUACCAAGGCGCCGAUGAAUAGCCGGCCUGAGAGGGUGGACGGCUACGUUGGGAGUGAGGCACGGCCCAGACUCCGACGGGAGGCGGCAGUAGGGAAGAUUGCAGAGUGGAAGAAAGACGGAGGCAGCGAGGCCGCGUGAAGGAAGAAGUAGCGCUGUAUGUAAACUUCGAUCAGCAGGAAAGAUAGGGACGGUACCUGACUAAGGAGGCCCGGGUAAAUACGUG
rnacentral:rRNA from 1 species